CCUACGGGUUGCACCAGUGGGGAAUAUUGCACAAUGGGCGCAAGCCUGAUGCAGCCAUGCCGCGUGUAUGAAGAAGGCCUUCGGGUUGUAAAGUACUUUCAGCGGGGAGGAAGGCGAUAAGGUUAAUAACCUUGUCGAUUGACGCUACCCGCAGAAGAAGCACCGGCUAACUCCGUGCCAGCAGCCGCGGUAAUACGGAGGGUGCAACCGUUAAUCGGAAUUACUGGGCGUAAAGCGCACGCAGGCGGUCUGUCAAGUCGGAUGUGAAAUCCCCGGGCUCAACCUGGGAACUGCAUUCGAAACUGGCAGGCUGGAGUCUUGUAGAGGGGGGUAGAACUCCAGGUGUAGCGGUGAGAUGCGUAGAGAUCUGGAGGAAUACCGGUGGCGAAGGCGGCCCCCUGGACAAAGACUGACGCUCAGGUGCGAAAGCGUGGGGAGCAAACAGGAUUAGAUACCCCAGUAGUC
rnacentral:rRNA from 1 species